CCGGCUCUCCUCAGCAGGCCGCGUGGCCACUGUCCGCGAGGUGGCGCCACAUGGUGCUAAUUAACCCACGCCCCUCCCUAAAAAGCAGGGCCAGCUUACCAUCAAAGCUUCGGGAGGCCAUGGCUAGUCCUCUUUGGCGGCUCCUAGACACCGAGCCGCUAGAGGGCAUCGGUCCCGGCAGGGCCGGAUGGCAAACGCCGCGGUGACUGGUACCCGGAAGGGGGCGGGGUGGCCCGCAGGCGCUUUGGCAGAGGAACUGCGGAGAAGGCAGGGGGCCGUUGCGUCAUCAGUCUGCGCCACCCGACGCCCGAGACCCGGGGUGGGAGUGGGAAGUAAGGGGUGGGGCGUCAGGGGUGGGGUGUCCGUCGCCUGCUGAUGAAUUACUGCCUAAGGCCCGAGGGAAAUCGGUCCCUGGAGGCUGGCGCCUGGACCCCGAGCUCCUGGGACUGACUGGCAGGAGAUUGAAUUAGUUCUCAAUAAUGGGAAGAACCUACAUUGUAGAAGAGACUAUUGGCCAGUAUCUCUCCAACCUCAAUCUCCAAGGAAAGUCUUUUGUCUCAGGUCUUCUAAUAGGACAGUGUUCUUCACAAAAGGAUUAUGUGAUUCUUGCCACUAGAACACCACCGAAAGAGGAAAACAAUGAGAACCUCAAACAUCCCAAAGAUAAGGUGGAUAACUUGGAUGAAGAAUGGGCCACAGAACAUGCUAACCAGGUAUCCAGAAUGCUACCUGGGGGACUUCUAGUUCUUGGAGUAUUUAUUAUUACAACAUUAGAAAUGGGAAAUGAUUUUCAAAAUACCCUGCGCAGACUAGUAUUUGCUGUGGAAAAAUCUAUGAAUAAAAAGAGACUGUGGAAUUUCACAGAGGAGGAAGUCUCAGAUCGAGUGACACUUCAUAUUUGCUCUUCUACAAAAAAAAUACUUUGUCGAACUUAUGAUAUCCAUGAUCCAAAGAGUUCAGCAAAACCAGCAGAUUGGAAGUAUCAAAAUGGACUAUUGACUUCAUGGCUUUCUUUAGAGUGUACAGUUCAUAUUAAUAUUCACAUCCCACUGUCUACUACUUCUGUCAGCUAUCCUCUGGAGAAAAAUACAAAGAAUGGACUUGCACGCUGGGCGAAGCAAAUAGAAAAUGGUGUUUAUUUGAUUAAUGGACAAGUUAAAGCUGAAGAUUGUGACCUACUAGAAGGACAGAAAAAACCUAGAGGAAAUGCUCAAGCAAGUCGUUAUUCUUUUGAUGUCAGAGUGUUAACGCAGUUGCUUCUGAAUUCAGACCACAGAUCCACAGCCACCGUCCAGAUCUGCAGCGGCUCUGUAAACCUUAAGGGCGCUGUGAAGUGCAGAGCUUACAUUCAUAGCAAUAAACCCAAGGUUAAGGAUGGUGUGCAGGCAGUGAAGAGAGAUAUAUUGAAUACAGUUGCCGAUCGUUGUGAAAUACUAUUUGAGGAUCUGCUUUUGAAUGAAAUUCCAGAAAAAAAAGAUUCUGAAAAAGAGUUUCACAUCCUUCCUCACCGGGUUUUUGUCCCCAUUCCGGGAUCCACGGUAAUGUUAUGUGAUUAUAAAUUUGGUGAUGAGUCAGCUGAAGAAAUCAGAGACCAUUUUAUAGAGAUGUUAGAUCAUAGGAUUCAAAUAGAAGAUUUGGAAAUUGCAGAGGAAAUAAACACAGCUUUUCUGAGUUCCUCUAUGAAUUCUGAAGCUCCGUUGGACAAUAGAGAUGAUGAACAGCCAAAAGAACCAAUGCAAACUUCAGUAGUAUUGAAAAUUCGGCAAAACAUGGGUAUGAUUGCAGCAUUUGCAGUUGCAGUCCUUGCUGUGGGUAUCUUCUUUCACUACUUCAGUGAUUAGGGUGAAGCACAAAGAGGUUCCUGAUCAUCCACAGAACAUUGACCAACAAUUAUGAAUAAUAAAAGAUGCAAACAAGCCUUCUGCAUUUAAGACAACAGCAGCCAGACCUGCUACCAAACUCCUAUUAGAUUUUAGUCCUCUUGAUCUGGAUCACAUAUUCAUCAGGACAUUGAGAAUUUGAAUAGUCAGGGUUGGCUGAAUAUCUUAGUAAUAGAACAACAGGAGAAAUUUCUACAAAGUGGGGCAACAACCUAUUGGGUAAGUUCAUACUGUAGGACCUUUCUAAUGUUUACCCAGUUCCAAAAUAUUGACCGAGUUCUGAUCAAGGAGUAGGAAACCUUUCCGGAUUUGAAUCAGUAAAGAUUGCCAUAAAUCAUGUGCUUUCUCAUGUUUGUAUAUCAUAAUUGUUUCACUAUAUUAAAUAAGAUUUUUUUCUUCCAGCAGUACAUUAGACUAGGUACUAUAAAACACCUAGAUCCUGAAUAAAAAUAUACCUUUGAAUGCAUUAAUACACUCAAGGAAAGUAGGGGAGAGCUCCAAAAAUUAUACCUUUAUUUUUCUUUCGCCACAAAAAUGAAUACAUUUUGAGUUGGAAAUUGUAAAUACUGUAUUAAGCAUAUGGGUGGGCUGUGGUUGCUCAGAUGGCAGAUACCAAUUGCAGCACUGCCUUAGGCAGUUUGCCUCAGACCAGAAACAAGGAGAGUAAUCUGAAUCUGAGAUCCUACCCUAGCCAGGACAGUUGACCUGGUCCUCAAUUUGUAGUCCCCUAUAACGCCUGACAGCAGCAAGACAGAGGCUGAAAAUUCUCAUAGAUUAAGAUAAAUCAAUGUUAUUUCAUGACUAGAGAUCACCAGUCACAAAUUGAAACUAACUAGGAUAAGAAAGAACCUAUAGAAAUAACCACCUUCAGAUUACAUUCUCUAGAAAUGAGAACUGUUACUUGAAAUUUAAAAAAAAAAAUCCUUGGAAAUGUUGAAUGUCAUAUUAGACUCAUCUGAAAAGACAUUGAAUAAACAGAAAGCUAAAUCUAAAAAAUGACCCAAUGUACAGCAAGGAGAAAUGAGCUUCUGGAAGAUCUAAAUACUAAGAGGUAUGGAAGGAAGAUUUUGAAGACUAAAGUACUAGGGGAGGAAAGAAUGGAGAGAAUGGAGGAGUGGCAAUAUUUGAAGAAAUAACAAUUUUCUACAUUUGUUGGAAAACAUGAAUUCAUAAAUUCAGGAAGCACAAUAUAUAUCCCAAACAUAUAUAGAUGAAAUUCAUACCUAACCCCAAUGAAUUUAACUGCUAGAUAACAAACAAAUUUUAAAAGCAAUCAAAGUGAGGAAAGGAUCAAGGAAGAUGAGACAAAUACUGAGUAGGCUUCUUUAUGGCAACAAUGUAUAUACCCCAAAGAUGGUAAAAUAACACCUUCAAAAUUCUAAAACAAACUGAUCAACUUAGAAUUUGAGCCAAGCAAGACUGAAAGACAUGUUCAGACAUGACCAUAAAGACAUGUUCAGAUGAAAAACAGAUUUUGCCAUCAAUAGACCUUCAUUAAAGAAACUGCAACAGCAUGAUCUCAAGAAGGAAAAGGAUUCCAAAAAGUGAUUGGAAAUUGAAGAGCUAGUGAGCAAAUAAAAUAAUAAACAUGGAAAUCAAGUGUUGUUUAUAGAAAACAAUUGUAAUGAAGUGUUUAUAAGAAAUAAAGUUGUAAACAAAUGUAAAACAAUAUUUUAUGCAACAUUAAUGUGUACUUUUAAAAUAGGAUAUAAUUGAAAAACGACAAUGGCUUAUGAGAGGAAGAUGAUUAGGAUUAAGGUAUUCUGAGAUUCCUUUAUUCAGAAAAUAGGUAAGAUAUUGUUUAACUUUAAAAUUGUUAAAUAUAUAUGGUAAAAUGUUCAAGUAUGACUGUUAAAGAAUAGAUAUGGGAUGAAUCAUUGUAGAGGAAAAUAAGUUUAAAAUAUGGAAUAGGAAGUACAAAAAAGGGGAAGAAAUUAUGGGUGAGAAGAAGAACAAAAGUAGAUAAUAAGACAUCAAAUAAUUAAAAUAAAUAUGAAUGGACUAAAAUAAAUGAACCAACAGGUUGAUUUUUAAAAAUUUUUCUGGGUUAAAAAAACAAACAUUAGGCAAAUAGCAAAAGAGAAUACGUGUAGUUUUAGUGAUGUUAAAAUUAGAUUUUAUGAUGUGUAAGGAUGGAGAAGGUUACUAAAUGGAAAAGGAUAAAUUCUCUAGGAAUAUAUAACAAUUGUAAAUUUGUAUUUCCUCUAUAAAAUGACCUCAAAAUGUAUGAACUAUAGGGCUAAGUCAACAAAUUGAACAACAUAAUGGGAGAUUUUAAUAGCUCUUAAUUAUAGAUAAAUCAGGCAGACUGAAAAAAUUAGUGAAUAUAGAUUUGAAUUUUCACUAUUGAGUCAGUGAACAUAUUAAGAAUAAUCAACAGAAUAUUCUUCUUAUUCAUUGUAUAUCAGCAAAAAAUGACCAUGUGCUACACAUGAAAUAAGUUAUAGUAAAUUUCAAAAAGUUAAUAUUAAAUGGAUAAUCAGAAAUAAGUUAGAGGUCAGUAAUAAAAGUUAAUUCUUAAAAAUCUUAUAUUUACAAGUUUAAUAAAACUUUACAGAUGAAAGAAGAAAACAUACUUAGAAUCUAUAAGUACUACAUUUGGAAAAUCGGGCGGUGCAGCAGAAACUGCACUUUGAGGGACAUGGUUUUAAACUAAGGGACAAAACUAAGUGUGUAACUUAAGGAAAAGAACAACAGAAUAAAUAAUGUAGAAGCAAGGAGACACAGGCAAUGGAAGAAAUGAAUGAGUUUGAAAACAAAAUCACAAUGCCAGAGUUUUCAUGACAAAAUAAAAUUUUGAACAAGAGGAAAACAGGACACAAGUAAACAACAUAAUGAUUGAAAAAGGAUAUAAUAAAGUACCUAUAGAUAUAGUAAAGAUGAAAAAUGAUAAGAGACUACCAGGAGCAUUUUUAUUUAAAAACUUAGACAAAAUAGACCAUGGUCUAGGAAAACGCAGGU